rnacentral:rRNA from 1 species
ACGGGUGAGUAACGCGUGGGAACGUACCUUUUGGUUCGGAACAACACAGGGAAACUUGUGCUAAUACCGGAUAAGCCCUUACGGGGAAAGAUUUAUCGCCAAAAGAUCGGCCCGCGUCUGAUUAGCUAGUUGGUGAGGUAACGGCUCUCCAAGGCGACGAUCAGUAGCUGGUCUGAGAGGAUGAUCAGCCACAUUGGGACUGAGACACGGCCCAAACUCCUACGGGAGGCAGCAGUGGGGAAUAUUGGACAAUGGGCGCAAGCCUGAUCCAGCCAUGCCGCGUGAGUGAUGAAGGCCCUAGGGUUGUAAAGCUCUUUUGUGCGGGAAGAUAAUGACGGUACCGCAAGAAUAAGCCCGGCUAACUUCGUGCCAGCAGCCGCGGUAAUACGAAGGGGGCUAGCGUUGCUCGGAAUCACUGGGCGUAAAGGGUGCGUAGGCGGGUCUUUAAGUCAGGGGUGAAAUCCUGGAGCUCAACUCCAGAACUGCCUUUGAUACUGAGGAUCUUGAGUUCGGGAGAGGUGAGUGGAACUGCGAGUGUAGAGGUGAAAUUCGUAGA